CUUUUCUAGAAACAACACAGGUUUUCUUUCCCCCAAAUUAUCAAAAACCAAUGGCUCGUUUCCUGUCACAAACCCUAAUUCGAUCAACAUCAUUUUCAUCAAAUUCAUUAAAACUAGCGAUACAUCAGCCGAAUCGAUUCUCGAGCCGAUCAGGAGAAUCGCAACUGAUCGAAGUGGAGGUUGAAUCGGACGGAGAUGUGGAGGUUUUAGGGUUACGAAAGCUCGAAGAUGUUAUUCACAACAUAAUCGUCAGGCAAUCUGCUCCUGAUUGGCUUCCGUUUGUUCCAGGUUCUUCGUAUUGGGUCCCUCCUCGUCGUCACCGACCUCAAUCUGACGCUUUGUUACAAGUUUUCAAGGGUUUGACCAUUCCGUUGACCGAAGAUGAAUCUAUGUCGCUUAGUUCAUCUCGUGGUUGGCCUUCGUCUGCUUAUUUUAUUCAAGGUACAUCUCCAGUGCAUCCAGUGGAGGUGAAAGUUGAUAAAAACGAGGAUGAAGAAGGAUGAACUCCCGUCUAGCACGUGUUCUGAAAGACUUCUUAUUGUACAUAUUUAUAGAAGUUAGAAGUCGCAGGUUGAAGAAAGCAUAUGUUCUGUUGGAUGUUUCCUGGUGUCUCUUGUUAAACAGAACGCGCAUGCUGAGCUCGUGAGAGAUCAACAAACUUUGAUAAGGAAAGUCGUUGGUAGAACUCUGUUACUAGAUUUUAGUAGCGAGUACGUAGGGGUGUUCACGUUUCUGUUUAGACAGGAGAGACCGGCUUAUCUGAUCAUGUACUUGGUUUUGCGGGUGAUCUUUACUUAUUCAAACCAAAGAUUUUAUUUUUUCAAACUGUUUUGUAUGAACUCAGACGGAGUCCCUCAUAUAAGAUAUAAUCCCUGUAAUAUAACAAAACCAAUAAUAUGUUAUAAUUUUAUGUAGCCAUAAUAGUUUUCUUA